UUAGUACCUACCGUAACAUCACACUAAAUAAAGCAGGGAAGGGAAUAUGAAUACCUAAAGCUUCUUCGGACAAGAUUAUCUCAAAAUCUUGGACAGCAAAGCUUGGAAUGAUUUUAACAGUCUAGGACCCCUUUGGUGGAAAAGAAGAAGUUACUGCACAAGUUUAGCAGAAUCUUCAGCAAUAGAAGAAACAGGAAAAGGCAUAAAGAAAGUCCUUGUCCCGGGGAGAAGAGCAUCAGCCAGAGAGUGCUAUCCCAUCCCCGCUCUGGAGCAGUAGCAUGGACACUUCUUUUUCUGUGUGUAGCUUCCCAGCAACUUGAGGGUGGCCCUGGAAUCCUUCAAGGUUAGAGGCAGAAGUCGGUCUUCCCAGCAAAGAGAUUGACACUCUUGAAGGAGAGGUCCUCCACUGUUGUCGAGGUUCCCGAAGGAGGUGUAGACAAGUGGAGUCAUGAUUCCUGUAUCAUCACCGCAGCCGUGGAGAUGGAUCUGCUGCUGUGUCGGUGGCAUCAAGGUCUGAAAGCAGCAAUAUUUUUGCCACCAGUUGUCCCUCCUGAAUGAUGGCCUUGAAGGAUUCCCAGUGAUCUCUGAAAGCUUAUCAACAGUCAUUCAGUUUAUUGAAAUUCAUGUAAUAGUAUGAUGCCGUGAGCACCUGGUAAUUGGCGAUAUGAAAUUGCAAGACUGCAGAGGAAUAUGCCUGCCAAAGAUAUCGAGGCACUUCCAUUCCCUGUUGCAGGGUGUUGCCCUGAAAUUAUGUGGUCAGCCAUGAGAGUUUACAGCAUCCACCAUGAUGGAAAUGAGUGGCAGGUGGGAGAAAAGGAACUCUGAUUCCUUUGCGCGGACAUUGUAUUUCUUGUCUGCACACUUGCACAUCAGGGCUACCAAUGCAGAGUUUUGUCACACUGUUUUAGCAGGAUCUUAGAUGGCUUCAUUGAUCAGGAGGGCAAUCUUCGAGGAGGACGAAGACUGGAGGAUAUCAGUGAGCUGGUGGUGUGUGUCUUUGACCUCCUCCAGUGGUAUGUGAAAGGUGUCUGCUAUGCUUUUUGCCAGCUUCUAGAAUAAACAGAAGUCAUCUGCCAUGGACAGUGGUGAAGGCAUGGCCGCUCUGUCUGGGAAAGAGGCGGAUAUAGGUUUAGGUGUUACCACCUCCUCCACGUCCCCUUCUUGUUCCUCUGAUUCCCAAGGCUCUGAGGUCCUAAAUGCUGUCAGUGUGUUCCCAAGGAUCUUAGUACAGCCGUUGUGAUGGCAUAGGGGUUAGCAGAAUUGCCCAUGGGUGGCCAUAACAAGAUGGCAGUGGUGCCAUCUGUGGGUAUAUUCCCAGAUCCUGUUGAUAGUGGGUCUCAUAUGGAGCUUGGGAUAAAGUACUGUGAAACCUUCUCACGCUCACUAUCUGACCGCUCACUUGACAGGGGGAUGGGCAUGAUUGCAAGAAUAUUCCCCAUGCCCGGCAAAGACUCAGUAUCAUGACAUCGGUAUCCAAGCGUGUAGAGCCAGGUACCUCCAUCAUGCUCAGGUCACCAACCUGGUGGAAUUCUGCCACUACCGAUCAUCGCAUCGUGGUGCCGGGGGAGAUGGAGACCUUCUCUGUACCAGUCUCUCCGUUUCUGGGUGGACUAUUGUCAAUGGCAGUACUGAUGUCGACUCACAUACCAGAAGCAUUUUUCUAGGGUGUUUGCCCUUAUCUCUCAGUAGAGAAAAUUUGGUGCCUCUGCCCAAAGAGUCCACGGGCCUGCCAGCAGUACAAGAUGUCAUUGUGAUGCCCGAUUGUGGUGUUGGUGCAGAUGAUACUAAGCAAGACAGCAAUUGCUUUUGCUAUCCCUAGACUCAGUGAGAGGACUUCCCAGUCUCUUUUUUGACCCACUAUCCUUCCAAGUUGAAGCCUGAGGGGAAGCCUCAUGCCCGCCAGAAAGCUGGUCGGAGAGCUGCGUCCAUAAAGAUAAUUUUUGGCCAAGCUCUCUAUCCUUACGGGAUUUUGGCUGGAGCAGAGGGAACACUUUAAUUGGCUAUGGCCCUCACCAAAACAAUGGAUGCACUGGGAGUGCUUGUCCGCAACCAAGGCCACCUUACUACAAGUGCAGCAUUUCUUGAAGCCAGGAGAACUGGUGCUUACUCAUCCAGGAGGUCUCUUUCCCCUGCAUCCAUCCAGGGAUGGACAAAGAACAAGUCACAAAGAGGCUUCAAAGGAAGCUAAAAAAUAGCAAUUGUAAAAGAAUUAAUGACACAUGAAUGGACAACUAAAGUGCCGUCUCUAGAAGGGGUAGUUGAGAAGGAACUGAGGACUGUUAACCUAUGUGCACAGAGACUAGCUUCACGGUGCAGCAAGAGGAAACACACUGCAUGUGCGGGCCAAACGGACACUGCUACUGAAGUUCUCCAAUCAGCAGCGCAGGGACACAGACAAACCUACAGUGGAGCACCCACAGGGACACUGCUCGAAGAAUCAAUUUUUCCUUUAAAUUUGUUACUUGGAACUACAUAAUCUGAAACUUCCAGAAAUUCUUAGCUUCUUAUUGACUACAAUUAUUUAUGUUCAUCACCAGCACUUUGGCCAAUUUUGUAUUAAUCAUCCAUACUAGAGGGGUUUAUGCUAUAUUUUGUUUUCUUUCAACUAUUUCUUGAAAAAGUAGGUUAUAUCAUCUGAAACAAUUUAUCUGCGGCACCAGCCUUCAUCACAGUACUUCUUUCCAUACCACUAUAUAGAAGAAUAGGCAUGAGUAAAGGGAUAAUAAUGGUUGUCACACAAUGGGAUGUCUAGUCUUGCUCCUAAUCUACUCCCAAUUUCACUUACGUUCACCAUCUACUCUGCUGCAUGCUGUGCAAAUGCUUACCCCAAUUCUGCAUGCUUAUUUCUCAAGUGGCUUAUUUGAACAGUUAUCUCUAUUAAUGUUUCUUCUCUCUACCAGAGCUUUUUCUACACAAAAAACAGACUGCUGUGCUGCUGUCCUUUGGAUUUAGGUAGAAAAAUCCAAUGGUGCUAGUAUUGGCUUUUCUUUUCAAACUGGCUGAUGCUAGUACAUGAUACUCUUGAACGUGUGUGUGUGUGUGUGUGUGUGUGUGUGUGUGUGUCACUCCACAUUCUUCCAUCAUAGCUAGCACUUCUUGCAGGUUAUUCUCUCAAGGACUCAGGAUCAUUGCCUUCUGUGAUCCUUACUUUUACCAAGCAUUCUUUACUUUACUUUGCGCUGAAAUGACCUUGCCCUAGAAAUACAGGUGGAAUCCUAAACCUUAUUCUUUAGGCUCCAAAUACAUGUUUCCUUUCCUGGCUGCUUUAACCUAUUAGUAAGAGAAUGGGAAAUCUAUAUGCACAUUUUUUUUUAACGUAUGUUGUUACCCUUGCUGCAGCUCUCUAUGUACCAUUGCUCAUCUUGCUACACAGGAGAUUAACCAAAAAAAAGUAAACAAAUCUUAGUAAAAUUCCAGUUAUCUUCUAGAAACCUGCUUGAUACUCCAUACACCUCUACUCAAGGUAUAUUGAUGCUAAGAUGCAGAGAUCCAUCAUGUAUGGGACUCAGAAGAUAUGAGUUCUGUUCAUGAUCUUCAACAGACUUCGUGUGUGAUGCUGAGCAAGGCAUUUAAAUCUUUAUGCCCCAAAACUCUAUCUGGGAAGUGAGGAUAAUACCACCGCUCUGCCUCACAAGGAUGUUGGGAUGAUAAAACCUUACAGUCUGUGAAGUGCUCAGAAGUAACUGCAGAACACAUAUUUAAAGGGACAAAAGUACGGCUUCCUUCCAAAGCUACUAACAAAGAUCCCUGUGAUAGCCUACUAUCAAUUAAAGUUACAUCUGUCUUCUAUUCUCAGCAAUAACCAUAUAUGCUCCAUCCCUCUAUAGCCCAUAAUGCAAUUACGAAGUAUAAUUCAAAUGUGGUUCUCACCACCCACCCAACCUUUUGUCCUGCAACCAAAUUACACACACACACACACACUCCUCCCCACCAUCUCAUUCCUUUGCCCACAUACAUGCAUGCUGAUUCAGUGCACACGAACUUCUAAAUACAAACCCCUAAUUAGUUGGAGGUCCUGCCCUCAUUUAACAACCAACCUCCCUCCAGAAAACUCAACACUAUCUUGCUGCUUACGGACACCAACCUCAGCAGAUGUUCAAGAAGUUGUGUUUUCUUAAGAAAACUAGAGAGCUUUAUCCUACAAUAUUUACAUACACAGAAGUCCUAGGUGCAGAAGAAACUGAUUCUCCUUUUAUGAAAUGAUUUUCUUCCUUUGCACAAUCUCACUGUAGCCCACAUACAACUCCUCCAGCCAUCACCCAUCUUUAAAUGAAAAAUAAACCAUUUUUGGUAAUAAAAUAAAAAA